rnacentral:rRNA from 1 species
AUGGAAAUGCCAUUCAUCUCAGUUUUUCAAUGUGCACUAGCUGGGCUGACUCAAAGACACGCAGAAUGUUUGGAUUGUAAAUCUGGGCCCUUACAUACAUUCUAUGUGAUAAACGUCAAUUGUACAAGUAAACAACUUAUUCAGGUAGCUAAUACUACCGAAACAACGGCACUGCUUCUGAGAUAUGCAUCCUUGAUUCCAUGUAGCUUAGCAGCCACCUCCUGCAUGUUGAUGCGUUCGCCCGGGGAUGUCUUAGUGCAGCAAAGGCCAACAUUUAGCACAGAUAACAGACAAUGUGAGUGUUUUUCCUUGAAGGCUAUUGGAGUUUCAUCCAACUCUUUUAGCAGCUGGGGGUCGACAAUCUCAAAUACCCUGUCAGGGAAACUUGGCCUCCGUAAGCUUCACAAUGCUGAGUCCAUCCUUAAACAUGUCGCCAGUUUCAUCUUCACUGCUUAA